UUUUAUUAGAUAUUAUUAAUAAUAAAAUCUGCUCAAUGAUUUUUUUAAAUAGCCGCAAUCGUGCUAAGGUAGCAUAAUCAUUUGUCUUUUAAUUUAAGACUAGAAUAAAAGAUUUAACAUUUAAAUAAAUUUCUUAAAAUAAUUUAUUUAAAUUAUUUUUAAUGUAAAAAAACAUUAAUUAAUUAAAAAGACGAUAAGACCCUAUUGAACUUUACUUUAGUUAAACUGGGGCAGUUAAUUAAUUAUUAUUUUAAAAUAAUAUAAUUUACAAAAUUGACCUAAUAAAAUUAAUUAAAUAAACAAGUUACCAUAGGGAUAACAGUGUAUAUCAUUUUAAAGAUCUUAUUUAAAAUAAUGAUUGCAACCUCGAUGUUGACUUAAUUUUUCUUUAUUACGCAAUAGUUAUAUAAGAAAGUCUGUUCGACUUUUAAAUAAUUACAUGA
rnacentral:rRNA from 1 species